rnacentral:lncRNA from 1 species
GAGAAGGUCUCGGUCAAGAGGAAAGACAAGGGGGUUCGCAGGUGGAACCGUGGGGAGAAAAAGAAAGGUGCCGCAGCACCUGGUCAAGGGGAAGGGGGGAAAAGAGAUCACCUCCUACUCGGUAAAGACAGGAAAGUCACGUGGGUUUUUUUUCCCUUUAAAACUAAACAAAAUUUCCUCAUCUUGCAAUUCAUUCAUCUGAAAUUCAAAAGAAACAUAUGGGUAUUAAAACGGAAUCGUCACGAUGAACUCUACGCAUCUGUGAUCUCUGAUCAUCCAUUCAAACUACCGUUCAAAAAGUCAACUUUUGGCCUCCUUCUAAGCGCCUUGUCAAUGACUUCGUGUAAGAAUUUCUCAGGUGUUACAUAUCUUUAAUCUAACAAUUGCCAUAAGUGACACUUCAUGUUACUCUGAGGCCAACGCGUUGUCCUCUUCAACCAAGUUGCCAAAACUCCCCUUCCGGCCACCCAAGUUUGGUUAUCAACAUUAUACUACUCAUCUACGCUAAGCCUACUCAAUGUUAUCCCUCCCAGGGCAUCCAUGCCCUAUUUGGCCUUGUUGGCAUGUCCUAGCGAGCUCUAUGUUGAUUCUUCUCUGGUCCAAGAAAUAAGGAACAAAAAGAAGUAUGGCAAUGACGAUGGCUUCUAUUGGAUAACACAAGCAUGAUAAAAUGCAUGCCGAUCACUUACCAUCAACACCAAAUCAAAGGUCACC